rnacentral:rRNA from 1 species
GAUACAGGGUGACAGCCCCGUACACAAAAGCGCAUGUGCUGUGAGCUCGAUGAGUAGGGCGGGACACGUGGUAUCCUGUCUGAAUAUGGGGGGACCAUCCUCCAAGGCUAAAUACUCCUGACUGACCGAUAGUGAACCAGUACCGUGAGGGAAAGGCGAAAAGAACCCCGGCGAGGGGAGUGAAAAAGAACCUGAAACCGUGUACGUACAAGCAGUGGGAGCACCCUUUGGGUGUGACUGCGUACCUUUUGUAUAAUGGGUCAGCGACUUAUAUUCUGUAGCAAGGUUAACCGAAUAGGGGAGCCGGAGGGAAACCGAGUCUUAACCGGGCGUUAAGUUGCAGGGUAUAGACCCGAAACCCGGUGAUCUAGCCAUGGGCAGGUUGAAGGUUGGGUAACACUAACUGGAGGACCGAACCGACUAAUGUUGAAAAAUUAGCGGAUGACCUGUGGCUGGGGGUGAAAGGCCAAUCAAACCGGGAGAUAGCUGGUUCUCCCCGAAAGCUAUUUAGGUAGCGCCUCGUGAAUUCAUCUCCGGGGGUAGAGCACUGU